GUGCUUGCUUCAGCAGCACAUACACUAAAAUUGGAACGAUAACAGAGAAUAUUAUUAUCAUAACCCCUGCACAAGAAUGACCAAAUUCGUGAAGCGUUCCAUAUUUUU
ensembl:snRNA U6 U6 spliceosomal RNA